GUCUCAGUCGGAUUGAAGGCUGAAAUUCGCCUUCAUGAAGCCGGAAUUGCUAGUAAUGGCAGGUCAGCAUACUGCCGUGAAUACGUUCCCGGGCCUUGUACACACCGCCCGUCACACCAUGAGAGUUGGGAAUACCCGAAGCCUUGUGAGCUAACUUUUAGAGGCAGCAGUCGAAGGUAGAAUCAAUGAUUGGGGUGAAGUCGUAACAAGGUACC
rnacentral:rRNA from 1 species